rnacentral:rRNA from 1 species
GGCGGGCUGGAACCUCUCGGGGUUACAGCCUUGCUGAAUUAUUCACCCUUGUCUUUUGCGUACUUCUUGUUUCCUUGGUGGGUUCGCCCACCACUAGGACAAACAUAAACCUUUUGUAAUUGCAAUCAGCGUCAGUAACAAAUUAAUAAUUACAACUUUCAACAACGGAUCUCUUGGUUCUGGCAUCGAUGAAGAACGCAGCGAAAUGCGAUAAGUAGUGUGAAUUGCAGAAUUCAGUGAAUCAUCGAAUCUUUGAACGCACAUUGCGCCCUUUGGUAUUCCAAAGGGCAUGCCUGUUCGAGCGUCAUUUGUACCCUCAAGCUUUGCUUGGUGUUGGGCGUCUUGUCUCUAGCUUUGCUGGAGACUCGCCUUAAAGUAAUUGGCAGCCGGCCUACUGGUUUCGGAGCGCAGCACAAGUCGCACUCUCUAUCAGCAAAGGUCUAGCAUCCAUUAAGCCUUUUUUUCAACUUUUGACCUCGGAUCAGGUAGGGAUACCCGCUGAACUUAAGCAUAUCAAUAGCCCGGAGGAAGGA